GGAUCUAGGAGUUUACCAGCUGAGACAUUUUUCAAUUUCUUUCUUGUCAUCCUUGCUGGGGACUGAAAACGCUUCUGUGAGACUUGAUAAUAGCUCCUCUGGUGCAAGUGUGGUAGCUAUUGACAACAAAAUCGAGCAAGCUAUGGUAUGUACUGAUGAAAAAUCAUUUAUACUAAAUGUGGGCACAGCACAAAAAUAAGAUGUUUUGUGGAACCAGUGCAUCCCUAAGUUCAGAUGAUGAUGAUUGCUCUUGAUGCGCGUAGAAAUGCCGGCGCUGUCUCCAUUCGGCCAGCGUGGAGCCACCUACCACGGCAGCCGUGGAGGGAGAAAGGGGCCCUGCGGGUAUUAAAUGGUCUUCUUCCCCGGACUGGUUUCACACGAGGGGAUUUUCUCACGGAUCUAGUGAAAAGCCAUUUGAUGUAUGCGGUCAGAGAAGAAGUGGAGGUCCUCAAAGAGCAAAUCAAAGAACUAAUAGAGAAAAAUUCCCAGCUGGAGCAGGAGAACAAUCUGCUGAAGACACUGGCCAGUCCUGAGCAGCUUGCCCAGUUUCAGGCCCAGCUGCAGACUGGCU
rnacentral:sRNA from 1 species